rnacentral:rRNA from 1 species
UAUGGGGGAUGUUGCACUAGCUACUUGCAUCAUUGUACAGAUGAUGCAGAUCGACUAUGUCGAAUAAAAUUCUAGGUAGAAUUAUGAUAAUGACAUUGUCUGCCUAUGUGUCUUGACCAAAUUACGUGCCAGCAGUCGCGGUAAUACGUAGAAGACUAGUGUUAUUCAUGUUUAAUCGGUUUAAAGGGUACCUAGACGGUAGAUCAAGCUUUUACAUAUAAAUUAUGUUAAUUAAAGGACUAAUUUGCUAGAGUUACUUACGAGGGGGUAUUAAAGUACUGCUGGUGUAGAGAUGAAAUUCUGUCAUACCUCUUUUCGAAAGAAAAAUCAUGGCACAGGUAUAGGCGAAGGCAUCCCCUUAUGUGAUAACUGACGUUGAGGGACGAAGGCUUUGUGUAACAAACAGGAUUAGAUACCCUAGUAGUUGAAGCAGAAAAUGAUGAAUGUCAUAGAUUAGAUAUAUAAGUUUAUUCUAUAAAUGAAAGUGUAAGCAUUCCACCUCAGGAGUAAUUUGGCAACAUUGGAAUUGAAAUCAUUAGACCGUUUCUGAAACCAGUAGUGAAGUAUGUUGUUUAAUUUGAUGAUCCGCAAAAAACCUUACCACAAUUUGAAUAUUAUAUUUUUUUUAUUGUUUUCUUCUUAAUUUUCUUCUAAUAACAUAUUCAACAUGUAAAAAGAAGAANGUUAAUAAAGAGGCAAUAAUAUAUAUUUACAAGCGUUGCACGGCUGUCUUCAGUUAAUGUCGCGGGACUUUGGUUAGUUCCAUUAAAUUAACGUAAACCCUUACNUUAUUUUUAUAUAGAGUAGUUCCCCGCUAUAUUGGAUAUGAUAACAGGGACUAAGACAAGUCAUC